rnacentral:rRNA from 1 species
CAGCCGCCGCGGGAACACGAAGGGGGCUAGCGUUGCUCGGAAUGACUGGGCGUAAAGGGCGCGUAGGCGGAUUGUUUAGUUAGGCGUGAAAUUCCUGGGCUUAACCUGGGGACUGCGCUUAAUACAGGCAGUCUAGAGUGAGGAAGAGGGUUGUGGAAUUCCCAGUGUAGAGGUGAAAUUCGUAGAUAUUGGGAAGAACACCGGUGGCGAAGGCGGCAACCUGGUCCUUGACUGACGCUGAGGCGCGAAAGCGUGGGGAGCAAACAGGAUUAGAUACCCCAGUAGUCCCUGUCUCUUAUAC